rnacentral:rRNA from 1 species
AACGAACGCUGGCGGCAUGCCUAACACAUGCAAGUCGAACGAGACCUUCGGGUAUCGUGGCGCACGGGUGCGUAACGCGUGGGAACCUGCCCUUAGGUUCGGAAUAACUCCCCGAAAGGGGUGCUAAUACCGGAUCAUGUCUUCGGACCAAAGAUGUAUCGCCUUUGGAUGGGCCCGCGUUGGAUUAGCUAGUUGGUAGGGUAAAAGCCUACCACGGCGACGAUCCAUAGCUGGUCUGAGAGGAUGAUCAGCCACACUGGGACUGAGACACGGCCCAGACUCCUACGGGAGGCAGCAGUGGGGAAUAUAGGAAAAUGGGCGAAAGCCUGAUCCAGCAAGGCCGGGUGAGUGAUGAAGGCCGUAGGGUUGGAAAGCUCUUUUACCCGGGAUGAUAAUGACAGUACCGGGAGAAUAAGCACCGGCUAACUCCGUG